rnacentral:SRP_RNA from 1 species
GCUGGGUGUGGUGUUGCGCACCUGUAAUCCCAGCUACUAGGGAGGCUGAGGCAGGAGAAUCACUUGAACCCAGGAGGCAGAAGUUGCAGUGAGCUAAGAUCGUGCCACUGCACUCCAGCCUGGGUGAGAGAGUGAGAUUCUGUCUGAA